rnacentral:rRNA from 1 species
GACGUAGGGCGCGAGCGUUGUCCGGAUUUAUUGGGCGUAAAGAGCUCGUAGGCGGCUUGUCGCGUCGAAUGUGAAAUCUCAGGGCUCAACUCUGACAUUGCAUUCGAUACGGGCAGGCUCGAGUUCGGUAGGGGAGACUGGAAUUCCUGGUGUAGCGGUGAAAUGCGUAGAGAUCCGGAAGAACACCGGUGGCGAAGGCGGUCUGCUGGGCCAAGACUGACGCUGAGGCGCGACAGCGUGGGGAGCAAACAGG